UACGUAGGGGGCAAGCGUUGUCCGGAUUUAUUGGGCGUAAAGAGCGUGUAGGCGGUUUGGUAGGUCCGCUGUGAAAACUCGAGGCUCAACCUCGAGACGCCGGUGGAAACCAUCAGACUAGAGUCCGGAAGAGGGGAGUGGAAUUCCUGGUGUAGCGGUGAAAUGCGCAGAUAUCAGGAAGAACACCCGUGGCUAAGGCGGCUCUCUAGUACGGUACUGACGCUGAGACGCGAAAGCGUGGGGAGCGAACAGG
rnacentral:rRNA from 1 species